rnacentral:rRNA from 1 species
UAGGGAAUCUUCGGCAAUGGACGAAAGUCUGACCGAGCAACGCCGCGUGAGUGAAGAAGGUUUUCGGAUCGUAAAACUCUGUUGUUAGAGAAGAACAAGGACGUUAGUAACUGAACGUCCCCUGACGGUAUCUAACCAGAAAGCCACGGCUAACUACGUGCCAGCAGCCGCGGUAAUACGUAGGUGGCAAGCGUUGUCCGGAUUUAUUGGGCGUAAAGCGAGCGCAGGCGGUUUCUUAAGUCUGAUGUGAAAGCCCCCGGCUCAACCGGGGAGGGUCCUUGGAAACUGGGAGACUUGAGUGCAGAAGAGGAGAGUGGAAUUCCGUGUGGAGCGGUGAAAUGCGUAGAUAUAUGGAGGAACACCAGUGGCGAAGGCGGCUCUCUGGUCUGUAACUGACGCUGAGGCUCGAAAGCGUGGGGAGCAAACAGG